rnacentral:sRNA from 12 species
CGCCUAACCCUUAUGGUUUUCUGUAAGGUAUGGCACAAAAACCUUUCACAGCAUCAAGCUCGUCGUCAGAGCACUGUGAAAGGUCAUAUCCCGAAAGGGGUAUGGGUCUCGCAAGAGAUC